rnacentral:sRNA from 1 species
CCCUUUUUUUCCCUUUUUUUCUCUCUCUUCUUCUUUCCUUCCUCCUGUGGCCUAACCCGCGUGAAGUAUGCCAUGACUUAAUGAUCUGUGAAAUUUCCCAUUGGGAUGAUGUUUACACUUCAACACCAUUCUGUUAAGGAUCCUGUCUCAAGUAUCACUGGAGUAUUAAGACUAUUAUACGUAACUACGAGAAGUUAGGAUGAUUAUUGAAUAAAACAUCGCAUACGAUGCCCUCGCCAACGCGCCAGCAAAGAAAAAAAAAACACCAGCCAAAAACACUCGUACCAUUAUCGGUUUAAUCGUAUAGACUUCUUUCCCCCGAACCUUUUUUCAAUUUUUGAUCUCAGUCAAUUACCUAGCUCAUAAUUCCACCAGCACGCACACGGAUAUAAGUUACUAACCAUGCAUUGAUAAGCAAAUGAAACGCAGAGCAAACGAGCCAAGUAGCUACCAGCUGGUUCUCCCAAAUUCCCCAUCUUCCCUCAUCCUCCUACGCGGGGACGGGCUGAGCCAUCGAAGACGAAGGAGGGGCGUCCUUGUGAUAAGAAGAAGAUUCUUCCUCUUCAUCGCCGUUAACGUGGCUAACAGGCAUUAAAUUUGUUCCCAUAUUCGCUGCGGCAGAGUGGAUUGGCUCGAGACUGGGCUCCCAGCCUCGUAGAUCCUGCUCGGCAUCAUUAAGGACCUGGCGAGCCUGAUCCAUUUGUUCAUAGGCACUCCGGGUAUCUCCGGGAACGAGCGGGGUGUCAUCUAGAAUAUUGAGAAGACGACGACCAUGGCGGGCGAGAAUGAUUUGCUUCUCUGCCCUUUCGAUGGUAGCGGCGAGAUGGAUGUCAAAUGCUUCCUUGAGCUUUUGACGGGUCUAUAUCGCCGAAAACACUUGAUCAGUUGCUGCCAAGUAAAUUGAGCAGUUUCCAGGGGGAAAAACGGCGAGGGGAUAUCGGACUUCGAUUGUGAAAACAUACAAUAUUCGUCAACUGGGCCUCAGCCACCAACAUCUGUGCCUCUGCCCUCACCAGUUCCUGUUCCAAGGUCACCAGCUUGGGGUUAUUUGGAUCCUUCAACUUCAGCUUUUGGAUAUCGUCCACAACACGCGUUUUAUAGUCCCUGGAAGGCUGCACGGAAGCCUCCGUAUUGCGAAUCUGCUUCAGCACAUUCCGGUAGUCCUCCAAAUUCUGCGCGUACAGAUCUUCCUGCUCGCCCAUUUCCGCAAGUAGCACGCCCAUCUUGUCAGCUAUGUCAGAAACGGCGAGAUCGCCUGUGGAUUCGCCCCAGUCAGAUAGCUGCGAGGCGAUGGAGACGCGGUCUCGUCCUGCAUUCUCAUAGGAGCCGAUGGCAUGGUUCUCGGCUUUGAUAAGCUUGUAGAGCCUCCGGCAUAGUUCGGGUUGCUGUGUGCCACGCAAGGUGGCCAUGCUGAAACGGUGCUUGACAGGGCGAUCCAUGACCGUGCUUCUUUUGCUGCGAACAGAACUUGAGCGGUGCCUGUAUGUGUGUUUUGUUUAAACGUUUUGUCAGGCAUAUACAGCUUUUCCUAUCACAAGGUCCUGAUGUAGAGUAGACAAGAGUAGAGAAGGGGGGAAGUUCAGUUUUUUUUGCUCACAUUUCAAGCGAAAUAUGUUAUAUGAGUCGCCUUGCUUCUUUGAUUGUACCGAAUACCACGUAUGAGAUGGUGAGAGAUAUAUAGUUGGUUUUCUUCGUCCCGAUCUGACCCCUUUUUCUCCGGUGAUAUGUAUUGUACUGGGAAUAAAACGUAGUGCGAGGUGAAAGACGCUCUUUAGACCAGCAGAUUGACCGCUGUAGCCACAGACUGGCAAAUGGAAUGGGGA